GUGCCCAUAGAUUAGUGGUUAGAUCAGUUCGUUGUGGCGCUGACAUAAUCCGAACAGACCCGCGUUCGAAUCGCGGUGGGCACA